UUCUACUUUAAAUCGAACGCGUGAGUUUACGUGUAGCAUUGAGCAUUUAAGCGACGUAGACACACGUGUUGGACCUUAGAGUAGAAUU